AGUGAACGCUGGCGGCAGGCCUAACACAUGCAAGCCGAACGGCAGCGCAGCAGUAGCAAUACUGUGGGCGGCGAGUGGCGGACGGGUGAGGAAUACAUCGGAAUCUACCUUGUCGUGGGGGAUAACGUAGGGAAACUUACGCUAAUACCGCAUACGACCUACGGGUGAAAGCGGCGGACCGCAAGGCGUCGCGCGAUUGGAUGAGCCGAUGUCCGAUUAGCUAGUUGGCGGGGUAAAGGCCCACCAAGGCGACGAUCGGUAGCUGGUCUGAGAGGAUGAUCAGCCACACUGGAACUGAGACACGGUCCAGACUCCUACGGGAGGCAGCAGUGGGGAAUAUUGGACAAUGGGCGCAAGCCUGAUCCAGCCAUGCCGCGUGUGUGAAGAAGGCCUUCGGGUUGUAAAGCACUUUUGUUGGGGAAGAAAAGGCACCGGUUAAUACCCGGUGUUUCUGACGGUACCCAAAGAAUAAGCACCGGCUAACUUCGUGCCAGCAGCCGCCGUAACAC
rnacentral:rRNA from 1 species